AGAGUUUGAUCCUGGCUCAGGAUGAACGCUAGCGGCAGGCCUAACACAUGCAAGUCGAGGGGUAAUCCCGCUUUCGGGCGGGAACGACCGGCGCACGGGUGAGUAACGCGUAUGCAACCUACCUUUAACAGGGGGAUAGCCCGAAGAAAUUCGGAUUAAUACCCCAUAAUACUAUGAAUAAGCAUUUAUUUAUAUUAAAAACUCCGGUGGUUAAAGAUGGGCAUGCGUAACAUUAGUUAGUUGGUGAGGUAACGGCUCACCAAGACUACGAUGUUUAGGGGGCCUGAGAGGGUGGUCCCCCACACUGGUACUGAGACACGGACCAGACUCCUACGGGAGGCAGCAGUGAGGAAUAUUGCGCAAUGGAGGCAACUCUGACGCAGCCAUGCCGCGUGCAGGAUGACGGCCCUACGGGUUGUAAACUGCUUUUAUACAGGAAGAACUUUCCGCACGUGUGCGGGAUUGACGGUACUGUACGAAUAAGCACCGGCUAACUCCGUGCCAGCAGCCGCGGUAAUACGGAGGGUGCAAGCGUUAUCCGGAUUUAUUGGGUUUAAAGGGUGCGUAGGCGGGAUAAUAAGUCAGUGGUGAAAUACUGCAGCUCAACUGUAGAACUGCCAUUGAUACUGUUAUUCUUGAGUUCGAUUGAGGUAGGCGGAAUGUGUAAUGUAGCGGUGAAAUGCUUAGAUAUUACACAGAACACCGAUUGCGUAGGCAGCUUACUAAGUCGACACUGACGCUGAGGCACGAAAGCGUGGGGAGCGAACAGGAUUAGAUACCCUGGUAGUCCACGCUGUAAACUAUGAUCACUAGCUGUUGGCGAUACAUCGAUCAGCGGCAAAGCGAAAGCAUUAAGUGAUCCACCUGGGGAGUACGGUCGCAAGAUUGAAACUCAAAGGAAUUGACGGGGGCCCGCACAAGCGGUGGAACAUGUGGUUUAAUUCGAUGAUACGCGAGGAACCUUACCUGGGCUUAAAUGCAGAUUGACGUUUCGGGAAACCGGAAUUCUCUUCGGAGCGAUUUGCAAGGUGCUGCAUGGUUGUCGUCAGCUCGUGCCGUGAGGUGUCGGGUUAAGUCCCAUAACGAGCGCAACCCCUAUUGUUAGUUGCCAGCGGAUAAUGCCGGGGACCCUAACGAAACUGCCGGUGUAAACCGAGAGGAAGGUGGGGAUGACGUCAAAUCAGCACGGCCCUUAUGUCCAGGGCUACACACGUGUUACAAUGGUCGGUACAGAGGGCAGCUACCUGGUGACAGGAUGCUAAUCUCGAAAGCCGGUCUUAGUUCGGAUCGAAGUCUGCAACUCGACUUCGUGAAGCUGGAAUCGCUAGUAAUCGCGCAUCAGCAACGGCGCGGUGAAUACGUUCCCGGGCCUUGUACACACCGCCCGUCAAGCCAUGGAAGCUGGGGGUACCUGAAGUCUGUAACCGCAAGGAGCGGCCUAGGGUAAAACUAGUGACUGGGGCUAAGUCGUAACAAGGUA
rnacentral:rRNA from 1 species